GACCUGAUGCGGUUGAAUAAAUGAUUACGCUUAUCCGACAAAAUCGACAACUGCUCAAGGAACCUCAAGAGCAACAUAAACUUUUUGUAGAGGAUGAAGUUUUUCUCAAUGUUCCGCAUUCCAAGAGUGCACAAGAUCGAUGUGAAAAACAAGUAUCUAGAAUUAUUUUCUAACGUAGUCAAAUUUCGAGGACGAAAUUUCUUUAAGGGGGAGAGGAUGUAACACCCGGCAUUUUCACUACAGUUUAUAUUAUUAUUAUUAUUAUUUUCUAUUUUCUAUUAUCUAAAAGAAGAAAGAGAAGUAGAAUCACUGAGAUGAGAUGAGAUGAGAUAUUAUUAUAAUGUCCUGAGCUUUUAAUUCAGUGAUUGCAUAAUUUGAAUAAUUAAGUAUUCUUGCAUUCUUUAUUAUUUUCAUUCUUGGAAGCAAGUUUAUAAUUCCUAGUUAAAGGGAUUAUUUUAUUAUUUUCAGAGAUGAGAUUGGUGAUAAAUACGAA
rnacentral:lncRNA from 1 species